GGGACCCAAAGAGAUUAAAGUCAAAGAUCAAGUUUGGGGAUCCCAUGGAAAGAAGAUGAAAAGAUCCCAUUAAAAGAUGAGUCAGCUUCGAGAGUUUGGCGAAAUUUCUUUCAGA